rnacentral:rRNA from 1 species
UACGGGGGGGGCAAGCGUUGUUCGGAAUUACUGGGCGUAAAGGGCUCGUAGGUGGCCAACUAAGUCAUGCGUGAAAUCCCUCGGCUUAACCGGGGAACUGCGUCUGAUACUGGAUGGCUUGAGUUUGGGAGAGGGAUGCGGAAUUCCAGGUGUAGCGGUGAAAUGCGUAGAUAUCUGGAGGAACACCGGUGGCGAAGGCGGCAUCCUGGACCAACACUGACACUGAGGAGCGAAAGCGUGGGGAGCGAACAGG